CAAAUUAAGGGUUUAAAACAAGUAUUGCACUAUUGGAUUCUAAUGAAAUGUUCAUCACAAAGUCAAAGUGAGGAAACCUUAAGUCAACCAUUUAUCCCUUAUUGAUUUUACAUCAAAAUCUUGUUUUUGUUAAAUUGUAUAUUUAAAUCUUAUUUUAGUUUUAGUAUAUUUCAAAAGACAAAAACCCCCAUUUUUAUUUUUAUUGUUAUUUAACAAAUAUUUUUACAAAGAGAUCUUCAUUGAGUAAUAAACUGAACCAAUCCCCCUGGAUUCGAUCCAUUUACCACUAUACACUAUUUUAGUGUAAAGGAUUUAGGGUUAUUUAUUUUGGUUGCUUCGACAACCACCAAAUUCUAAUCGCAAUAUGGUCUCUAAAGGUUUUAGAAAAACCUAGGGUAUCGGGAAAUUAAGCCCUUAAUAUAGACUUCUAAAAUCAGAGUCUACUCGUCGAGUCCAGUGACCGACUCGACGAGUCCCUCACUUAAAACCCGUGUACGGCAAGGCAUCUGAUGUUCACACAUAUUCGUAUCUUUUCGCCGAGUAGGUGUUCGACUCGCCGAGUCCUUCUGAUUUUUAGCUCUUUCUCUUCUUUCUUCAAUUCUCAAGCUUCCGGUUGCCAGUCCUGCUUUUGCUCCCGAGCAUGUCUUUUAGGCUGAAAAUACAACAUAAGCAAAAUUAAGUACCUUAUGUUCAAUAAUUGCAAUAAAAUAGCCAAAAAGUAUUAAGAUUCUACAUAAAUUAUAUGAUCAAAUAUGCACAUAUCAAAAUACCCCAAACUUGAGUUUUGCUUGCCCCCAAGCAAAAGUGAAUUUUAAGCACACCAGCAUCACAUAAGAUAAUCUCACUCAAACCCAGCCAUUAUGCCAAGACCGCAACGCAUGUAUUUGUGUCUUAAUUUUUUCCUAAGGACACCCCCCUAAUUCUAAAUACUUACAAUCCUCAUAAACACUUGUCCACUUCUUUUGAACAACGCUCAUUUUAUGCAUUGCGGCGAAUCCAUCCGCAGAAAACUAUCUUAAUCUCAAGGUAUUUUUGGUCAAGCUACCCAAGCAUACAUAAUCUAGAAAGAAUUACAAUUUUUGAUAUCACAAUGGAGCUCUUUAGAAUUCCUCAGUUCUUUGCUAAAUUGAUUUUUUUGAAUACACCACAUUCUUUGUUUGAUUUUUGGUUUCUUCAACUUUUGAAUUUCUUCAGAAUUUGAUCUUCAUACUUUAUACUUUCACUGCUCCAAAAUUCUUUAACUUUUUUGUAAUCUCUCUCUUUUUUUCAACAUAUAUCUCAUUUUUUUUCUCACUCAAAACCUACAUGCUUAAGCGAGGGAGCUACUCUUAACCAUUAUUGGUUUAAGCAUUAGUCUUAGUGUGCAAUGACUACUUAAGCUUUCCUGGAUACAUUUCAAGUACACGAUGCUAAACAUAUUGCGAUCCUCAAACUAAGAAAGGUUGUGUUUUUGUCCCAUGAUUUCACUAGAAUAAAGGGGGCCACAAAUGCAUUAUAACGUAUAUAGGCUCAACUACACAUUUGGGUCCUCAUAAAAUCAUCAAACACAAUACUAGCAUGGAAUCCUAAUUGCUUUUUAUCAUGGUUUUCUAAUUUAAGUCCUAGCAAUUUCAUGCAAAUUUUUUUAAAAUUAAACCUAAAAUUAGGAUUCUGAUUCUACUAAUUUAACCAACCCCCUACCCCACACUUAAUUCAUGCAAUGUCCCCAUUACAUGUUAUGCAGGAUAAAGAACAUAAAAGUAAAUAGGCAAUUGGAACAAACUCCCCUGGGAUAGUAAUCAUGAGGUCGAUAUUCUUCUUGUGAAGAUCCAUCUUCAGCUGACUUUUAGAAAUGGGAACAGCUCAUCCAUGCCUUGGGUGUCAUUCGUCUCGUGUGGUACAGCUCCAAAUAUAGACGAAAAAGCUCUUGGAAACACUCGGAAAAUGAUCUUUAAAAAUAUAGCCAAUCACUGUGUUGAAUGUCAUCAAAUCAUCAGCUUGAAAAAUAAGAUAAUGAUCAACUCGUCGAGUUCCUCAGGUGGCUUGCCGAGUUAAAGCGUAAAGUUGGCAGAAGUCAUGUUUUUUCACUUGGAAUCGCCGAGUUGAGUAUAUGGACUCGCCGAGUCCAUCGUUGUAUGGACAAAAAUUGUUCUGCCAUCAAGUCCGUUUCUAGGGUGUUUGUUGGAUAAUAUCAACAUGAUAUUUUUCCUCAAUUUUCAUUAGUAAAUAAGCACUCUUUAACCUUUUUCAUGAUUGGACUCGAUACCGGACUCUAAACUUCUAUUUCUCUCGCCCAGACUCGAUUUUUUUCUUGGUUAGCCUUGACUCUAGACUCUUGUAUGCAUUCCUUACCCUCAAACUGAAAAGACCAAAAAACAACACACAAGUGAUAGAAAGGAAAACAAAUAAAAUCCUACAUAGUUCCUGAUUACUACAUGUUCCAAACAUCAACCAAUAAAAACAAGCCAAAAACAAAAUAAAAAUUGUCUCAAACAAAACCACACAAAUAAAAAUAAAAACUAAAAAGGAUAGUCAUUCUUCAUCUUCCCCAUCUCCACAACCUCCCGCUCCGCUUCUUCUUGCUUCAAUCCGCUCGUCCCAACUCCUAACAUAAGGGUAAUCUGGGGUAUCCAUGCUUGGAAUAUUCAAGUGGGUAAACAAAUGUGAAAGAGCCAUAUUGUUGUAGUUCAUGCUCCUCCCUAAGUCAUCCUGGUACCGCACCUCCAUAUUGUACCAAUCCAACGGUACCUCAUCGUCAACCGGGAUUACCGGUGGGUCGUCAUGUGCAUGCUCAUGUCUCGGCCUCACCCGUCUACCCGGUUCCUCGAGCGAUACUACUUUGUCCUCAUGUGGAAUAGCAAAAGUCCCACCACCAAAAUCCUCAACAAUCCUCGCCCUCAUGUACAGCAUAAUACUAAACUGAGGUGUAGGUAUCAUUGUCAAGGUAUUCCCGACUCCUCUCCCCAUUACACCAUAUGAUCUUGCCAAGCGGGUCACAAAUAUCCUGCCAUUUAUUUUCGAGGUCUUUCUUUCCUUGACUGCUCCAUCCCCCAAAUAUCUUGCCAAACAAUAGGGUAUGUUGCAGAAUGUGUUCGGCGUAAUAAUGCUCCAUAAAUAAAACACAUCAAGGUUCGGGACCUUGUCAUCAUCUUUUCUCAUAUUUAUGGUGCUCGAGGUAAGGCGAUGAAUUAAUCUGUGGAUAAGUGAUCAAAUACUUCCUUCUUGAGCGGAAGAUGGAAUAUAAACUUUGUUGGCGAUUGUGUUCCACCAACCCGAACCCGUCAUCCCUUUCGGAAUGUCUUUAUGGCAAUGUUCCUCCAUAAAUACACCAAAAGCUUCAGACAUGACCACAGAUUGGUCAUAAAUUCUCAUCCUCCAUCCAAGUUCCACCAUACUACAUUGGCGAUACUCCCCGCCAAGAAAAAAUGUAAUGACCCCCAGAUUGUAAUAAUCAUUCACCCCGUAGAAGGUAAUGGUCGAGAAGACCUCCCAACAUAGCUCCUGGUAAAUCGGUUCCUGAAUCCAAAACAACAUAUUCCACCCGUCACAUGUAAUGGUCACCCCGUUGUGCACAAAAGUUUUGACAGAAUACGGGGUCAAUUCUUCUUCCAAUCUAACCUGGCCAAUCCAUUCCCAAUUUAUUUCAUUUGGGACAUAAAUUUCUUUCAUUUUGACCAAAUGGUCUAUUAGAGAAAGAAGCUAGAGGUAUUGAAGAAGAAGACCAUUCUUCUUCCAAUCUAACUUGGCUAAUCCAUUCUAGAGGUAUUGAAGAAAAAUAAAUUUAUGUCCCAACUGAAAUAAAUUGGGAAUGGAUUGGAUAGGUUAGAUUGGAAGAAGAAUUGACCUUGUAUUCGGUCAAAACUUUUGUGCACAACGGGGUGACCAUUAUAUGUGAUGGGUGGAAUAGGUUGUUUAGGAUUCAGGAACCAGUUUACCAGGAGCUAUGUUGGGAGUUCUUCUCGACCAUUACCUUCUACGGGGGUAAUGAUUAUUACAAUUCGGGGGUCAUUAUAUUUUGUCUUUGCGGAGAGUAUCUCCGAUGUAGUAUGGUGGAACUUGGAUGGAGGAUGAGAAUUUAUGACCAAUCUGUGGUCAUGUCUGAAGCUUUUGGUGCAUUUAUAGAGGAGCAUUGCCAUAAAGACUUUCCGGAAGGGACGAUGGGUCUUGGUUGGUGGAACACAAUCGCCAACGAAGUUUACAUUUCAUCUCCCGCUCAAAAAGGAAGUAUUCGAUCCCCUAUCCACAGAUUAAUUCACCGCCUUAUCUCGAGCACCAUAAAUAUGAGAAAAGAUGAUGACAAGGUCCCGAACCUUGAUGUGUUUUAUUUAUGGAGCAUUAUUAUGCCGAACACAUUUUGCAACAUACCUUAUUGUUUGGCAAGAUAUUUGGGGGAUGGAGCAGUCAAGGAAAGAAAGACCUCGAAAAUAAAUGGCGGGAUAUUUGUGACCCGCUUGGCAAGAUCAUAUGGUGUAAUGGGGAGAGGACUCGGGAAUACCUUGACAAUGAUACCUACACCUUAGUUUAGUAUUAUGCUUUACAGGAGGGCGAGGAUUGUUGAGGAUUUUGGUGGUGGGACUUUUGCUAUUCCACAUGAGGAUGAAGUAGUAUCGCCCGAGGAACCAGGUAGACGGGUGAGGCCAAGACAUGAGCAGGCACAUGACGACCCACCGGUAAUCCCGGUUGACGAUGAGGUACCAAUGGAUGGGUACAAUAUGGAGGUGAGGCGGUACCAGGAUGACUUAGGGAGGAGCAUGAACUACAACAAUAUGACUCUUUCACAUUUGUUUACCCACUUGAAUAUUCCAAGCAUGGAUCCCCCGGAUUACCCUUAUGUUAGGAGUUCGGACGAGUAGACUGAAGCAAGAAGAAGCGGAGAGGGAGGUUGCGGAGAUGGAGAUGAUGAGGAAGAUGCAGAAUGACUAUCCUUUUUAGUUUUUAUUUUUAUUUGUGUGGUUUCGUUUGAGACAAUUUUUAUUUUGUUUUUGGCUUGUUUUUAUUGGUUUAUGUUUGGAACAUGUAGUAAUCAGGAACUAUGUAGGAUUUUUUUGUUUUCCUUUUCUAUCACUUGUAUGUAGUUUUUUGGUCCUUUCAGUUUGAGGGUAAGGAAUGCAUACAAGAGUCUAGAGUCAAGGCUAACCAAGAAAAUAAUCGAGUCUAGGCGAGAGAAAUAGAAGUUUAGAGUCCGGUAUCGAGUCUGAUCAUGAAAAGGGUUAAAUAGUGCUUAUUUACUGAAGAAAAAUGAGGAAAAGUAUCAUGUUGAUAUUACCCAACAAACACCCCAGAAACGGACCUGAUGGCAGAACAAUUUUUGUCCAUACAGCGAUGGACUCGGCGAGUCCAUAUACUCAACUCGGCGAUUCCAAGUGAAAAAACACGACUUCUGCCAACUUUACGCUUCAACUCUGUCACAACUAGCAUUUUUAGCUAGGAAAUUCUAUUCUCAUAAAAACAUCAUCCAUUGUAAGGCAUGUGCUCUAAGUGAAAAUCAAACUCUAUGCUCAAUCAAAAUCAUCCAUUUGAAAUCAAAACUCUCUCAAGAGGUUCAAGACCUAAUACAAUACACCUCAUACGUUCAACUAUGGGUUGAAAACACUAGAAAUCCCGGCUCAAGUUCAUUAUGGAGUAGGAUUCUCUUAUUGGUUCUAAGGGACCAAUAAAUCAUCAAUUCAUCAAUCUAUAACAUUUUGGGCCAUUUGGGCCUAGAAUGAUUCAUUCUACCUCCAAUGGACCAUGAUGGGUCAUAAAUGAUUUAAUUAGCCCUAAUGGGCCAUAAACCCAUUCCUUUUACCAUCUUGGGUCGUGAACCCUAAUAAGGGGCCCAAUGGGCCGAAGAAAAAAAUGCUUUUGAGCUUCACAAAAAUCUGAAUAAGCCAAGAAUGGGCCCAAAACCAUUUCAUCUCCAUUCUUUUAAGCACAUUCUCGGCCCAUGUAACUAAACGAAAAAAAGAGAACAAUGAGGAAUUAUCUACUAGUGACACAUCACUUUUGUUUAAAGGAUAACCAAGCCUAAUACAUCACAUACAUCUAUACAAGUUCCAUAUAACCAUGCAUACUCUCUCCCCUCUCCACUUGAAUCUCGGCCAAGAACCAAAAACACACACACACACUCUUUCAAACACUUCCUCAAUCACUCUCAAACAUCAUUCUCCUCCUUCCUCCAAGAUCUCGAAAAUUUGCUAGAGAUUUAAGGACCUUCAUCAAGUCAUUCCAAUUCUUGGUAAGUUAUUGUCAAACACAAGUAUCUUCUUUCAUGUUAACAUUAAAAACUCCUUCUUACAUGGUUUUAUUCCAUGAUCACACCUUAGAAGCUUCUUAAACUCGAGAUCCACAACAAAGGUAUGCUAAGACCAAAAAUCUCUUCCACUUCUUCUCCAAAAACCGAAAAAUCAAGCAAAGGUGACUUCAUACCCCUUGUUUUCGGUUUUCAUAUGAUUUUGGGGGAGAAUACAAGUUGCUUUGUGUAGAUCUAUGUGUAUAUGCAUGACUAUGUGUGUUUUCCAUGAAUUAUUUGGUGAUUAUGUGUUGAUUACUUCAUUAAUCUAAAAAUAUGUUAAAAACUUGAAGUUUAUCACUUCGAUCUUCAUAAGAACCUUGAGAAAAGUAUGUUUUAUCACAUAUAUUACAUAUAAACUUGUAGAUAUCGGAAUUAUACACUUAAAAUAACAAAAAUGAGUGUUGUGCUCAAAGAUCUAUAACUUAUACUCAAAAAUCAGCUUUUGACAGGAAAGUUUUAGCCCAAUCUCGAACUGUUUUGACCCUCUUAAUCGAAGUAUUUUUCAAAACUGUUUUACAUGGUCAAAGUUAAGAACUAUACCUUUAAAAUGACUACUCUCACGUUUUCAUACGAUUUUUCUACAAUUUUUGGCGAAUUUUACAAAACUGCCUAUCAGAAUUGAAAUAAUUUCGGACCAACCUGUGAAGGUGAGUAAUUUCACACUAGUUUGAAGCCAUCAAAAAUUAUGAAAAAAAUUGUAAAAUAAUUAGACAAAAUUUCCAAACUUCCAGAAUUUACGGAUCCAAAUUUCGACUUACGAUGAUUUUUCUACGAAUUUUCCAACAACUAGGUCAGAAAAACUCAAAACCAGAAAAAUGUGUAUUUUCACAAAAAUCAAUCAAAGAAUGAUAUUUUUGACAAUAAUAGGUUUUAAAAUGUUAUUUUUACCACAAACUAGUCAUCAACACAAGUUUUGAACAAAAUGGAGACUAAAGUGUAUUUCUUACAAAAAAAUUGGGCCUUAAUUGUAAAUUUUUGGCUUAUUGGGCCAAGAACGUCAUUUUUACAAAAAGUGGGCUUUUAUGCUAUUUUAGUGAAUACUUCAACCAAAACCAACGAUAAACCAACAAACGGAUUAAUUUGAUCAUUUUCUAGGUUAUUUGGUCCUAGUGGUCCAUUUUUUAUGUGUGAUAGGUCCUGUAUACUAUUUAUAUGUUUAUUAGGCCUCAUUGACCCAUUAACAUGUGCAACGGACAUUGGAUACUAUUUGUGUGCUAUUUGGGCCUAUAAAUACCUUACAUGUGAAAUGGGCCUUAGUUGUCCUUUCAUAUAUAUUUCGGGCCCAUGUUAUAUAAUCUCGUUCCAAUUGAGCCUUGAAAUGAUUUACAUGAUUAGCGAUGUCUUAGUGGUUCACUUACAUGGUUCAUUGGGCCUGGAAUGAGUUUAUACUUUUCUUCGUGUAAAUUUGAUUAAGGAUCUAGUGAGUUUUGUCGGUUGGCACCUAUUAAGUGUAUGAUUGUAGCCUGUAGUUAUAACCAGAGUCUCUUGGAGGGAGAGCGGGGAUUUGUGUAUAGAUCUAUACGGGGAUGACACCCCACACCUGAGAUGUUCGCUACAGUUAGACUAACUCAGUCUAGGGUGACGAAAACCAUAUAAUUAAAAAUCAAAAUCGGCGUCCAACAACGCCAAGACAGACGAAAUUGUCAUUAUUUAGUAUGGUUAUGACGGCUCACUUAGAGGAAUUAACGUUAUGAAGUUUACGGAAGACCAUUCACUUUUCUCUUGGGUUACUCGGAAACAUUCUCGUACUGGUACUCAACCUCGGGGGUUGGUAUGGCAGCUUUCUCUUUUACAGGCAACAUUGGGUUGUCUGGGAACAUUCUCUUUACAUGCUCAUUACAUUCCCUAUAUAUUCUCUUUACCCCUUUUAGUCAAAUAAACAAAAACAUACAUGCAUUAAUACAAGAUGUGACACAAACAUACUAAACAGUUUGCAGAAAAUAUCGGAUUUUCUGGUGGUUUCAAAGUUAUACAAUUCAUUUUCACAAACAUGCUUAUGAACUCACCAACAUUAUAUAUGUUGACAUUUUCAAAAUAACUUGUAUUCUCAGGAAACCGUUGAAGCGGGAUGAACGAAACAAACUAAUGGAUAUUGUGUUAUAUAUUGUUUCAUCAUACUCUUACUAUUUUGGCAUGUAAUAUUAAAAUACAAUACUUGAUUUAAACAAUGAAUGUUGUUAUAUUAAUGUGUGAUGAUGAUGAUGUUAUGUUUCAAUUAUAUUAAUAACUGUAAUGAUAUUUCAAGAUGAAGUCACACACAAGCCCUCAGACGUUUCCGCCGUCUUGUUCGAAGGUGUGAAGUUGACCUCACUUACUUAAGCAUGUAGGUUUUGAGUGAGAAAAAAAAGUAAGAUGCAUGUUGAAAAGAAAAAGAGAGAGAGAGAGAGAGAGAGAGAGAGAGAGAGAGAGAGAGAGAAAAACUACCAAAAAGUGAGAAUUUUGGAGCAGUCAAAGCAUAAAAUAUGAAGAUCAAAAUUCUGAAGAAAUUCAAAAGUUAAAGAUAUCAAAAAAUCAAACAAAAAAAGUGAGAUACAUACGUUGCGGUCUUGGCAGAAUGACUGAGUUUGAGUGAGAUUGCCUUAUGUGAUGCUGGUGUGCUUGAAAUUCAGUUUUGUAUGGGUGCAAGCAAAAGUCAAGUGUGGGGUAUUUUGAUAUGUGCAUAUUUGAUCAUAUAAUUUAUGUAGAAUCUUAAUACUUUUUCACUAUUUUAUUGCAAUUAUUGAACAAAAUGUACUUAAUUUUUCUUAAAUUGUAUUUUCAACCUAAAAGACAUGCUCGAGAGCAAAAGGAAGCAGGACUGGCAAUCUGAAGCUUGCGAAUUGAAGAAAGAAGAGAAAGAGCUAAAAAUCUGAAGGACUCGACGAGUCAGACACCUACUCGGCGAAUAGAUACGAAUAUUCACGAACAUCAGAUGCCUUACCGUACACGGGUUUUAAGUGAGGGACUCGUCGAGUCAGUCAUUGGACUCGACGAGUAUCCCCUGUUUUCAGAAGUCUAUAUAAAGGGCUUAAUUAUACCCUAGCUUUUUCUGGAACCUUUGGCAACCAUAUUGCGAUUAGAAGCUGGUGGUUGUCGAAACCAACAAAAUAAAUAACCCUAAAUCCUUUACACUAAAAUAAUGUAUAGUGCUAAAGGGGUUGAAUCCACGGGGAUUGGUUCAAUUUGAUACUCAAUGAAGAUCUAUUUGUAAAAAUAUUUGUUAAAUAACAAUAAAAAUAAAAAUGAGGGUUUUGGUCUUUUGAAAUAAACUAAAACUAAACUAAGAUUUAAAUAUACAAUUUAACAAAAACAAGAUUUUGAUGUAAAAUCAAUAAGGGAAAGAUGGUUGACUUAAGGUUUCCUCACUUUGACUUUUUGAUGAACAUAUCAUUAGAAUCCAAUAGUGCAAUACUUGUUUUAAACCCUUAAUUUGGCUAUAGUAAUCCAAGAAGCUUGAGAUUACUUAGGCUUUUCUUAGUUGUUAAAAUAAUUAGAGAAGCUCAUAACAAUUUUCUUAGUCAAAAUCACAAUUUCCAUUAAGCAUGUAAUUAGUGAAAGUCAAGUAGCAUAAAGAACUAAAAAGUCACCAAAUCCAAGAGGAGUCAAAAGCUUCCACUGCCAUUUUGGAGAAAAUGUUUUUAUGAUUGUGAGAAAUAAAACUAACACAAAAAUCACAUGUUGCUUGCUAAUUUGAUGAUCUUUUACUUAAUCAAGAAAUUAGCCAAUUAAUCACCACAAACACAUUUAAACUCAUGAAUAAAAACAUACAAGUAGUGAUAAGAUGUUAAACACAAAACAUUUUCAUAAAGAUUCAAACAUAAAUUCGUGGAAUCUUCAACAUUCAACAAUUAGUCAAAGGAUUCCACCAAAGUCAACCAUAAUUAGUAUAGUCAAACAUGGCUAAACUUAAGAAAACAAAGUUAGUGAAGAUUGUACCAAACAUUUAACAAGAAUCAAGAGGUGAAAUGAUGAAGUUUUUUAGGGUUCUUGGCCUUCAUAGUGCUCCAAAACUCCAGAGGGAAUGCUUAAAAAUCGGAUGUCUAAGAAUAAGCAAAAGAUGCACACCAACCUUCCCCAAAUAGCCCUCAAAAUGAAAUUUUGAAACUGCCCCUGCUGAGUCGUGCGCGGCCACGAGCCCUGCACGGGUGGGUUGCACGGGUGGUAUCAGAUCAUGGGUUCUUGAGAGUUCGGGCCUCCACAGCUUAGCCAACUUGGCCCAGUUCGAGUCCAAACAGCUUCUAGCCCAUUUUUCUUUAAGUUCACUUCAUUUUAUGCCCAAUUUGGCUUCUCCAAAUUCUCCAAAGCUCGUGAACUUGCCCGAUUAACAAUCUCCACAUGCUCGAAUAUUCUCCCACAUCUUGCAAUUUUAAAGUUCAUUUUCUCCAAUCCUUCAAAUAAUCAUCAAUCCCACUCCAUGCAUCAACUCCAUUAUCACCAAGCCUAUAAUUCUCGACUUCCUCUUAUUCUAAUCGCUUUCCAUACGUCCCAAACACCCCCGCUCCACUAAUCUCCAUGAAAUCUGCAAUAAAGCUCACGAAACUAGAAAGUACCCAAAAUGGUCAUAAAAUAACAAAAAGGAAAAUAUGCAUCGAAAUUAACUAAAUUAGGGAUGAAAUAAACUAUAAAAAGAAGUAAAUAAAAUAAACUAUCAAAUCACCCCAAGCUUAACCCUUAGUUGUCCUCAAGUAAGAUAAGACUAAAAUGAACUCGGGAUGAACUAUCCAUAGAAAAAUAAAAAGAAUGGAUAGAACCGUAGAACCUGAUCACCGUUAGUCAACAUGGCCAGAAUUGAUCUCGCUGUUAUCUCAUUAAUUUUUCAUCUGAUGACAAUGGAACCAUAAACCACAGCUAGGACAACUCCUCUAGGUGAGUAAGGAGGGAUGGUUAGUCGCCGCCCCAAUGGAACAUGCAUAUAAUGAAAAACAUUUGUAGUAGGGAGAGAACAGUUGGAUGGGCUCGUGUGGAGCUCUUCUUUAAGUGUACACUCUUAUCACGACAGUUGCGUGAUCUCACGUCUGCCGGUUACUCUCGUGUGUAAUUGGGUUUAAUCGCUCGGACACCAUUGUAGGAAUCGGUUCACUUAGUGUUGGCCAAAACCUCUUGUAGUAUCCGACUCGACAGUCUCCUUAACAUCACCAAUUUACGAAAAACAACUCGAUCUAUAUAUAAUAAAACAAAGCUAUAUAAAUGAAUAUCAAACGCCAGGUGACCAAAACGUUGAAAAUUUGUUCUAUAAUUAAACCGAUCACCCAUCUAAGACAGCUGCAGCUGUAAAUUUGCUUGCCAUUAUUAUUAUUUUUUUCUUUAGUGAUUCAAUAUGAUAACACAUACUUGAAGAAAAUGUACUAGCAGUCGAAAUUUUUAACAAGAAAAACCUUUUGACUCAAAAUUUGGUUCCCAAAAGUGUGUAAGUGGAACCGAAAGGGUAGUAAUAUAAUCCGAAUGGUCUAAGUGUGAAAAUGACCAUGUGUGGAGCAUAAAGAUGUAAGCUCCUUUUCAAACUUGUGAUUUCUCAAAAACAAUGAAAAUGUCCAAAUGUGGACUAAAAGACUCUAAAAUCCUAAGAAAAUCGCAAAAAAAUGGUGAUGUAAAGAGACCUGAUAUAGAUUCUACUCGGGGACAAGCACCCGUGCUUCAUCCUAACGGUUCAAACUUGAUCAAGUGCGAUCCUCUCAGCGGUAUGGACCGCAAUGAUAAAAAAAAACGAUUAUUAUAGUGUAUCCUACAGUUGUUAGUAUUGCAUGCAUAAUUCUUCAUGAAAACUACAUGUCCAUGAUCACUUACCCCUUUAAGCUUCCAGCAUCUGAUCCCAAGUAUGAAAUCCAAAACUACAGCUAAUGGUCCUGAUUCGAUGGGUGAGAUAGCAACAAGAUUCUGGACCAAUAAUGAUACAAUAACUGUGAAUAUGUUUCAUGGCAUCCAAGGGGGGUGAGAAUAAACAGACAACAAAAAUGCAUGAAUGCUAAUGCCCUAAGCUAAAUGUUAUGCAAAAAUAAAAAGUAGAAAAGAAGAAAGUAAAAUCUUUUUGGAAUUUUAUAAAAUUAAAAAAAAUGAAUGUAAAUUAGCUUAAAACUAAUAUGAUAUGCAACCGAACUAAAAAAAAAAUGCAUGAAAAAUAAAAGGAAAUACCCCACCCCAAGCUUAAGAACAAACAUUGUCCUCAAUGCUUAAGGUAAGGACAGAAGUGACCUAAAUCGAAGGAUCGGGCGGCAGGAAAUGCCCGUGGUGAUAGUGAUAGUCUCGCAUGUCCUGGACCUGACGCGAAGUGGAUAGGAAGUACUGCUCCAGUUGACUAACGCGUGCUGCCACAUAUUGGAUGGCUUAGGUGUUCUCUUGCGUUUGAGUGUCAAUACGCCGAACUGUGGAGAACAUUGUGGCGAACUGGUCAAAAAAAUGUAGGGGGGAAAUAUGAUGGGACUUCGUGUCCCCCCUGCUAGUGUGGCUGAUCAAAGUGUUGUGGAGGAGCCUGGAUGUGGUCAUGCUGAUACAUCAGUUGUUGCACUGGAGGCUGAUCAAAGUGGUCCUCUGCCUCGGGAAUCCUUUCAUCAUCUUCUUCGUCCUGCUCCUCAUCCUCGGAGUCGAGUAACAUACAUGUUGGAGUCAACUAAUCCGGAGGAUUCGGCGUCAUUCGACUCGAAUGAAUCACCUACCCAGUUGGGAAGGAUGUAAACCGGGCGCUUGUCACUGUCAAGCCAACUGUAUUUUUCAUUGCCCCGACUCUCCAACAUUUACGCUCGCUCAAGAACGUAACAAUCCAGUAGGAAGUUGGGCUGGUAGUGGUCAACAGGCAAGUAGUCGGGGGCGGGGAAGUUUAGGCCGACAAAUCGACCUAUGAUAGUAAUGAGCCCCUCGAUAUGGAUCUCUCCUAUAGUGCGCUGACAGAUAGCCUCGCAUUUAUCGAGGGGAAAUGUGGACAAAUCAGGUUCUUCCCGAUGUAUCAUGCAGUAUAGGAAGAAAAGUUCACAUCUAUUUAUUUGACUGGGCUCGAGGCGACCGAAAAUAUUGGUGGUGAGAAUGUGGUGUGCAAUGCACCAACAAGGAUGGACUAUGUGCUUGGCCCUCUGGCGGCUCGGAUUGAACGUGUCGAGAAUGGUGAUUUGCGACCAAAACUCCACGUUGGGGGAAUGCAGGAAGCUGACUUAAGCUUGAGAAUGGAUGGUUGUGUCGUUUGUGCGGUCUACUCCCAUGUUAGAGUUUAGUCGCCCGAAUGAAAGCCGAUGGCUUUGGCCUUGUAAUUGGAAGGUGAGGACUUUGGAUUCAUUGUCAGUGGCGAAAGUGGACAAGAAUUUUAGUGUGGGCUCUUCGUAGGUCCUAUCGCAUAGGUUGAGAAAAUCACCCCACCCCAUACCACAAAACAUAGAUUCUAAACCGAUGUGAUCCCCAAGCAUAUUCAUUGACUCCUCAUGGUAAAACUUUGUGGGUCGGAUUGGGCGUCCGCGGAGGUUUGACCAGUAUGUUUUGAUUUCCAUCUUUGUAAGGAAAGGACCGUUCCCCUCAUUUCCACUUUGCUUCAGUUUCCUAAUGGCUUUUCGUGAAGUACCAGUUGCAUCUUUUUGUGGAUUAGGAUCAACAGAUGAGCCAUGAGUGCGCGCCUGGGUUUUGGUUUUGCCCAUUUUCAAGACCUACAAUAUCAAAAACAAUUCACCAAAGUAAUCCCUCCCUCACCACUCUCAAAGUAAUGCGACUAUUUUCAAACCGAACACAAAAUUCCAAUAAAGAAUGAUAUCCAGCUUUUGAUAAUUCAAAAAGGUUUCAAUAACACCACUCGGUUUAUUUGACAAUUCUAACAAAAAUUCGGCAGCAUUUCUAGACAAAAUGAGCAAAUUCCAACCAAAGUUUAAGCAAAUUUUAAACAAAUUCUCAAGCAAAUUAACCAAUUUCAACUAUUCUCAAACCAAUUUUUCCAAAUAAACCGGGACAUAACUAACGAUCCUAGGCGAUUUUCAAAGAAUAAUUGGAUGCAAUUAUCGUAUUAGAACAAUGCAAUGAAAUAAAAACCAAGGAAAGAAAAUACCCGAUUCAAUCGUUUUUAUCUCGAAAAUUGAGCUUGAACCCGAAAUCUGCUACCAUGCACCCCAAGCUUAGUGGUUGUUCGUGGGUGCCAAAAUGUAAAACUUGUUCACUAAAACAAUAUUUUCAACUUGAUUUUAGCGAAAAAUCUAGUGGUGACUCGUGGUGCCUCAAAAUUCCCGGCAAAAUUUUUGUGAGAUUUUGAGGUUUUGUUCGGAUGGAUGUAAAGAGCUUGGAAGAAGAAACACUUUGAUGGAGUCGGAAUUGCGAGAGAUGGCCGGAGUUAGCCGAAAAAUAGCCGGAAAAUGGCGAGAUGGUGGUGGUAGCGCCCCUAAAUCCGGCAACGGAUCGGAAGAAGGUUUGGGUGGGGUUUGUAUAGAAUGGAAAAUGGAUAAGAAUGGCAGUGGUCUCGCCGGAUUCCGACCGGUAGAACUCCGGAAAAUCAGAUUUUAGUGAGAGGUAGGGUUGGCCGAGAAAUCUCACUAUUGAUGUCUAGACGGGUAUUCCGGUUUUCACCAAAUCACGGUGGCACUAGAAGACCAAGAGAAGACAAUUUUUACAUGUCUAAUUGGCACUUUCGCAUACCGUAGCAUGCUAUUUGGAUUGUGUAACGCCUCGGCCAUUUUCCAACGUUGCAUGGUUAGUAUCUUUUCCGAAUAUGUCGAAAACAUAAUUGAAGUUUUUAUGGAUGACUUUACGGUGUAUUGGAACUUGAUUCAAGAAUGUUUGACCUAUCUCACCAAAAUUUUGAAAAGAUACAUUGAAACAAAUUUGGUUUUAAAUUUUGAGAAAUUUAAUUUCAUGGUGAGUCAAGGUCUCAUUUUGGGUCACAUUGUGUCUAAGAAAGGAAUCGAGGUAGAUCUUGCGGCCCUUAAGUACUUGGUACCAAAGUUAUUGUGUAUUCGGAUCAUGCGGCCCUCAAGUACUUGAUGACGAAGAAGGAUGCAAAGUCAAGACUCAUCCGGUGGAUCUUAUUAUUGCAAGAAUUUGAUUUGGAAAUUCGGGACAAAAGAGGAUGUGAAAACCUUGUUGUCGACCAUCUAAUCCGGAUCACUUCAACUGAAACUCCUCUCCCGUUGCGGGACGAGUUUCCAUAUGAGCAUCUAUUUUCCCUUACUCAAUCUAUCCCUUGGUAUGCCGAUAUCGUUAACUUUUUGGUCACAAAAAGGUAUUCCGACACAUCCACACGUGCUCAAAAAGAUAAAUUGAAAAGUGAUGCAAAAUAUUAUGUGUGGGAUGAACCUUAUUUAUGGAAACAUUAUCCCGAUCAAAUCAUUAGGUGAUGUGUGCCCCAACAAGAACACCAAUCAAUUUUGCAGUUUUGUCACGAAUUUGCUUGUAGGGGACACUUCGGACCUAACCGAACUUUAAGAAAGGUUCUUGAGUGUGCACCAUUUUGGCCAUCCAUGUCACGCGAUUGUUACUUGUUUUGUAAAAGUUAUGAACGGUGCCAAAGGAUGGGGAAUAUUUCACAAAAGAAUCAAAUGCCACAAAAUCCAAUCUUUGUUUGUGAAGUUUUUGACGUAUGGGGGAUUGAUUUUAUGGGCUCAUUUCCUGUCUCAUAUGGCAACAUUUACAUCUUACUCGCGGUUGACUAUGUCUCAAAAUGGGUUGAUGCCAAAGCCACAAGAUCGGAUGAUGCCAAAACGAUUAUCGAGUUUUUGAAGUCUAAUGUUUUUGUGAGAUUUGGUGUGCCUAGGGCUUUGAUUAGUUAUCGAGGGACGCAUUUUUGCAACAAGAUGAUGGAGGCUUUAUUAAAGAAGUGCAACGUGACCCAUCGCGUCUCUAUCGCCUACCAUCCUCAAACAAACGGUCAAGUGGAGGUUUCGAAUCGUGAAGUGAAGAGUAUUCUUGAGAAAACAGUGAAGCUGACAAGAAAUGAUUGGAGUUUAAGGCUUGAUGAUGCUUUGUAGGCCUAUCGAACCGCUUACAAGACCAUGAUAGGAAUGUCCCCAUUUAGGUUGGUUUUUGAAAAGUCGUGUCAUCUUCCUAUCGAAUUGGAGCACUGUGCAUUUUGGGCGGUCAAACAAUGUAAUUUCAAUAUUGAUGAGGCAGGAGGACAUAGGAAGCUUCAACUACAAGAGUUAGAAGAGUUGAGAAAUUACUCUUAUGAAAACUCAAGGAUUUAUAAGGAGAAAACAAAACUUUUUCAUGACAAGUCCAUCACCGAAAAGUACUUUGAACCGGGACAUAGGGUCGUACUUUACCAUUCACGAUUGAACUUUUUUUCGAGCAAGUUUAGAUCAAGGUGGAUAGGGCCUUUUGUUGUCAUAAAAACUUUUGACCAUGGGGCGGUAAAAAUCCAAAGUGAAGAAACGGGACAAAUUUUCAAAGUCAAUGGGCACCGUUUGAAGCCAUUCUAUGAAGGUUUCGAUGCAAAUGCUCUUGAAAUCAUCCAUUUGGAUGUCCCGAGGUGUUGAAGCAAGCUAGAAGGAGGUCUCGCCAAAGACGUUAAAGAAGGGCAUUUUUGGAAAGCGUUGUGCUUUCAUGUCUUUGAACUCGAAUAAAGAAGUGUUGAAGAUGUUUUGAUGUUUAUUUUGAAAAUAUCUUUGAAGAAAAUAAGUUUUUCAAGUGUUUAGGCCUUCAAAUGCAAGCCAAGAAUCCCAACAAGUGGAAGCGAAACGAAGCCGGAGACUGUGACCAGCACGCGCCCGUGUGGCCUUGCUCGCCCCCUUACGCAACCAGCAUGCGCGGCCGGGCAGCCUUGCGCGGGUGGGUUGCGCGGACACCCCUGAUCGUUUGAAACAAGCUCACAAAAUAGGACCUCUAACUGCAUCAUGCACGCGGCCGCGUGCCAUACCUGCGCGACCCGCACACCUCGUGUCCAACCAUGCCUUAUUUUUUUGACCAGCUUUGACUUUUGUUGACCAGGUUGAUUAAUGUGUUGACUAACAUUGACUUCCGUUGACCAGACCUUGACCAUGGAUUAAAACUUCCAGCACUUCAUCUUCUUCAUUCAACCCUAACAAAUCCCACCAUUUUUCUCUCAAACUCUCAAGAACACAAACACCCACCUCUCACUAAAAUUCGAUUUCCUGGAGUUCUACUGGUCGGAAUCCGGCGAGACCACCGCCAUUCUUCACCAUUUUUCGUUCUCUACAAACCCCACUCAAAAUUUCCUCCGAUCCGUUGCCGGAUUUAAGGGUGCUACCAUCACCAUCUCGCCACUUUCCGGCUAUUUUCCGGCCAAAUCCGACCACCUCUCGCAAUUCCGACACCACCAAAGUGUUUCUUUUUCCAAGCUCUUUACAUUCAACAGAACAAAACCUCAAAAUCUCACAAAAAUUUUGCCGGGAAUUUUGAGCCACCACGAGCCGCCGCCAGAUUUUUCGCAAACAUCAAGUUGAAAAUAUAGUUUUAGUGAACAAGUCUUGCAUUUUGGCACCCACGAACAACCACUAAGCUUGGGGUGCACGGUAGCAGAUUCCGGGUUCAAGCUCAAUUUUUGGGACAAAAACAAUUGAAUCGGGUAUCUUCUUUCCUUGGUUUUUAUUUCAUUGCAUUGUUCUAAUACGAUAAUUGCAUCCAAUUAUGCUAUGAAAAUCGCCUAGGAUCGUUAGUUAUUGCCUGGUUUAUUUGGAAAUUUUUGUUUGAGAAUAGUUGAAAUUGGUUAAUUUUCUUGGGAAUUUGUUUAAAAUUUGCUUAAACCUUUGUUGGAAUUUGCUCAUUUUGUCUAGAAAUGCUGCCAAAUUUUUGUUAGAAUUGUCAAAUAAACCGAGUGGUGUUGUUGAAUCCUUUUUGAAUUGUCAAAAGUUAGGUGUCAUUAUUUAUUGGAAUUUUGUGUUCGGUUUGAAAAUAGUCGCAUUACUUUGAGAGUGGUGAGGGAGGGAUUAAUUUGGUGAAUUGUUUUUGAUAUUGUAGGUCUUGGAAAUGGGCAAAACCAAAACUUAGGCACGCACUCAUGGCUCAUCCGUUGAUCCUAACCCACAAAAGGAUGCAAUUGGUACUUCACGAAAAGCCACUGGGAAACGGAAGCAAAGUGGAAAUGAGGGUAGCGGUCCUUCCCUUACAAAGACGGAAAUCAAAACAUACCGGUCAAACCUCCACGGACGCCCAAUCCGGCCCACAAAGUUUUACCACGAGGAGUCAAUGAAUACGCUAGGGGAUCACAUCGGUUUAGAAUCUAUGUUUUGUGGUAUGGGGUGGGGAGACUUUCCCAACCUCUACGAUAGGACCUACGAAGAGCCGACACUAGAAUUCCUGUCCACUUUCGCCACUGACAAUGAAUCCAAAGUCCUCACCUUCCAAUUACAAGGCUAAAGUCAUCUGCUUUUAUUCGGGCGACUGAACUCUAUCAUGGGAGUAGACCGCACAAACGACACAACCAUCCGUUCUCAAGCUUAUGUCAGCUUCCUGCGUUCCCACAACAUGGAGUUUUGGUCGCAAAUCACCGGUCUCGACACGUUCAAUCCAAGCCGCCAGAGGGCCAAGCACAUAGUCCAUCCUUGUUGGCGCACUGCACACCACAUUCUCAACACUAGCAUUUUCGGUCGCCUCGAGCCUGGUCAAAUAAAUAGAUGUGAACUUUUCUUCCUAUAUUGCAUGAGACAUCGGGAAGAGUCUGAUUUCUCCACAUUUCUCAUCUAUAAAUGUGAGGCUGUCCGUCAGCGCAUUACAGGAGAUAUCCAUAUCGGGGGGCUCAUUACUAUCAUAGGUCGAGUCGUCGGCCUAAACUUCCCCGCCCCCGACUACUUGUCCGUUGACCACUACCAGCCCAACUUCCUACUGGAUUGUUACGCUCUUGAGCGAGCGAAAAUGUUGGAUUGUCGGGGCAAUGAAAAAUACAAUUGGCUUGACGGUGACAAGCACCCGGUUUACAUCCUUCCCAGCUGGGUAAGUAAUUCAUUCGAACCGAAUGACCCCAAGUCCUCCGGAUCAAUCGACUCCAACAGGUAUGUUACUCGACUUUGAUCAGCCUCCGGUGCAGUAACUGAUGUAUCAACAUGACCAUAUCUAGGCCCCUCCACGACACUUUGUUCAGCCUCAGUAUCAGCCACACUAGCAGAGGGGGCACGAAGUCCCAUCAUAUUUCCCCCCUACAUUUUUUGAUCAGUUCGCCACAAUGUUCUCCACAGUUCGGCGCAUUGACACUCAAACGCAAGCGAACACCCAAGUGAUCCAAGAUGUAGCAGUAUGCGUUAGUCAACUGGAGUAGUCCUUCCCAUCCACUUCGCGUCAAGUCCAAGACAUGUGGGACUACCACUAUCGCCACAGGCAUUUCCCGCCGCCCGAUCCUCCGAUUUAGGUCAUUUCUAUCCUUACCUUAAGCAUUGAGGACAAUGUUUGUUCUUAAGCUUGGGGUGGGGUAUUUCCUUUUACUUUUUCAUGCAUUUUUUUAGUUAGUUGCAUAGCAUAUUAGUUAUUAAGCGAAUUUGCAUUCAAUUUUUUCAUUUUAUAAAAUUCCAAAAAAAAAUUACUUUCUUCUUUUCUACUUUUUAUUUUUGCAUAACAUUUAGCUUAGGGCAUUAGCAUUCAUGCAUUUUUGUUGUUUGUUUAUUCUCACCUCCUUUGGAUGCCAUGGAACAUAUUCACAGUUAUUGUAUCAUUAUUGGUCCAGGAUCUUGUUGCUAUCUCACCCAUCGAAUCGGGGUCAUUAGCUGCAGUUUUGGACUUCAUACUUGGGAUCAGAUGCUGGAAGCUUAAAUGGGUAAGUGAUCAUGGACAUGUAGUUUUCAUGAAGAAUUAUGCAUGCAAUACUAACAACUGUAGGAUACACUAUAGCAAUAGAUGUUUUUAGCCUUGCGGUCCAUACCGCUGAGAGGAUCGCACUUGAUCAUGUUUGAACCGUUAGGAUGAAGCACGGGUGCUUGUCCCCGAGUAGAAUCUAUAUCAGGUCUCUUUACAUCCCCAUUUUUUUUUUUUUGCGAUUUUCUUAGGAUUUUAGAGAGUCUUUUAGUCCACAUUUGGACAUUUUCAUUGUUUUUGAGAAAUCACAAGUUUAAAAAGGAGCUUACAUCUUUAUGCUCCACACAUGGUCAUUUUCACACUUAGACCAUUUGGAUUAUAUUACUACCCUUUCGGUUCCACUUACACACUUUUGGGAACCAAAUUUUGAGUCAAAAGGUUUUUCUUGUUAAAAAUUUCGACUGUUAGUACAUUAUCUUCAAGUAUGUGUUAUCAUAUUGAAUCACUAAAGAAAAAAAAAAUAUAAUAAUAAUGGCAAGCAAAUUUCCAGCUGCAGCUGUCUUAGAUGGGUGAUCGGUUUAAUUAUAGAACAAAUUUCCAACGUUUUGGUCACCUGGCGUUUGAUAUUCAUUUAUAUAGCUUUGUUUUAUUAUAUAUAGAUCGAGUUGUUUUUCGUAAAUUGGUGAUGUUAAGGAGACUGUCGAGUCGGAUACUACAGGAGGUUUUGGCCAACACUAAGUGAACCGAUUCCUACAACGGUGUCCAAGGGAUUAAACCCAAUUACACAUGAGAGUAACCGACAGACGUGAGAUCACGCAACUGUCGUGAUAAGAGUGUACACUUAAAGAAGAGCUCCACACGAGCCCAUCCAGCUGUUCUCUCCCUACUACAAAUGUUCUUCAUUAUAUGCAUGUUCCAUUGGGGCGGCGACUGACCAUCCCUCCUUACUCACCUAGAGGAGUUGUCCUAGCUGUGGUUAAUGGUUCCAUUGUCAUCGGAUGAAAAAUUCGUGAGAUAACAACAAGAUCAAUUCUGACCAUGUUGACUAACGGUGAUCAGGUUCUACAGUUCUAUCCAUUCUUUUUACUUUUCUAAGGAUAGUUCAUCCCGAGUUCAUUUUAGUCUUGUCUUACUUGAGGACAAGUAAGGUUUAAGCUUGGGGUGAUUUGAUAGUUUAUUUUAUUUACUUCUUUUUAUAGUUUAUUUUAGUUUAUUUCAUCCCUAAUUUAGGUAUUUAUCAUGCAUAUUUUCCUUUUUGUUUUUUUAUGACCAUUUCGGGUACUUUCUAGUUUCGUGAGCUUUAUUGCAGAUUUUAUGGAGAUUAGUGUAGCAGGAGUGUUCGGGACGUAUGGAAAGCGAUUGGAAUAAGAGGAAGUCGAGAAUUAUAAGCUUGAUGAUAAUGGAGUUAAUGCAUGGAGUGGGCUUGAUGAUUAUUUGAACGCUUGGAGAAAAUGAACUUUAAAUUGCAGGAUGUGGGAGACUAUUCGAGCGUGUGGAGAUUGUUAAUCGGGCGAGUUCACGAGCUUUGGAGGAUUUCGAGAAGCCAAAUUAGGCUUAAAAUGAAGUGAACUUAAAGAAAAUGGGCUAGAAGCUGUUUGGACUCGAACUGGGCCAAGUAGGCUAAGCUGUGGAGGCCCAAACUCUCAAGAACCCAUGAUCUGAUACCACCCGCACAGGGUUGCGCGGCUGCGCACGAUUCAGCAGGGGCAGUUUCAGAAUUUCAUUAGAGGGCUAUAUGGGGAAGGUCGGUGUGCAUCUUUAGCACACUCUUAGACAUCCGAUUUUUGAGCAUUCUCUCUGGAGUUUUGGAGCGCUUUGAAAGCCAAGAACCUUGAAGAACUUCAUUAUUUCGCCUCUUGAUUCUUGUAAAAUGUUUGGUACAAUCUUCACUAACUUUAUUUUCUUAAGUUUAGCCAUGUUUGGCUAAACUAAUUGUGGUCGACUUUGGUGGAAUCAUUUGACUAAUUGUUGAAUGUUGAAGAUUUCAUGAACUUGUGUUUGACUCUUUAUGAAAAUGUUUUGUGUUGUAACAUUUUAUCACUACUUGUAUGUUUUUAUUCAUGAAUUUAAAUAUGUUUGUGGUGAUUAGUUGACUAAUUUCUUGAUUAAGUAAAAGAUCUUCAAAUUAGGAAGCAACUAGUGAUUUUUGUGUUAGUUUUACUUCUCACAAUUAUAAAAACAUUUUCUCCAACAUGGUAGUGGAAGCUUUUGAUUCCUCUUAGAUUUGGUGAGUUUUUAGUUCUUAAUGCUAGUUGACUUUCACUAAUUACAUGCUUAAUGGAAAUUGUGACUUUGACUAAGAAAGUUGUUAUGAACAUCUCUAACCAUUUUAACAACUAAGAAAAGUCUAGGUAAUCUCAAGCUUCUUGGAUUACUAUAGCCAAAUUAAGGGUUUAAAACAAGUAUUGCACUAUUGGAUUCUAAUGAUUUGUUCAUCACAAAGUCAAAGUGAGAAAAUCUUAAGUCAACCAUCUUUCCCUUAUUGAUUUUACAUCAAAAUCUUGUUUUUGUUAAAUAGUCUAUUUAAAUCUUAGUUUAGUUUUAGUAUAUUUCAAAAGACCAAAACCCUUAUUUUUAUUGUUAUUUAACAAAUAUUUUUACAAAGAGAUUUUCAUUGAGUAACAAACUAAACCAAUCCCCGUGGAUUCGAUCCAUUUACCACUAUACACUAUUUUAGUGUAAAGGAUUUAGGGUUAUUUAUUUUGUUGGCAUCGACAACCACCAAAUUCUAAUCGCAAUAUGGUCGCCAAAGGUUCCAGAAAAACCUAGGGUAUUGGGCAAUUAAGCCCUUUAUAUAGACUUUUGAAAUCAGAGUCUACUCGUCGAGUCCAGUGACCGACUCGACGAGUAGCUCACUUAAAACCCGUGUAUGGCAAGGCAUCUGAUGUUCACGCAUAUUCGUAUCUUUUCGCCAAGUAGGUGUCCGACUUGCCGAGUCCUUCAGAUUUUUAGCUCUUUCUCUUCUUUCUUCAAUUCUCAAGCUUCCGGUUGUCAGUCCUGCUUCCUUUUGCUCCCGAGCAUGUCUUUUAGGCUGAAAAUACAAUUUAAGCAAAAAUUAAGUACCUUUUGUUCAAUAACUGCAAUAAAAUAGCCAAAAAGUAUUAAGAUUCUACAUAAAUUAUAUGAUCAAAUAUGCACAUAUCAAAAUACCACAAACUUAAGUUUUGCUUGCCCCCAAGCAAAACUGAAUUUUAAGCACACCUGCAUCACAUAAGAUAAUCUCACUCAAACCCAGCCAUUAUGCCAAGACCGCAACGCAUUUAUUGUGUCUUAAUUUUUUCCUAAGGACCUCCCCCCUAAUUCUAUAUACUUACAAUCCUAAUAAACACUUGUCCACUUCUUUUGAACAACGCUCAUUUUAUGUAUUUCUCCUAAUCCAUCCGCAAAAAACUCUUUUAACCUCAAUGUAUUUUUGGUCAAGCUACCCAAGCAUACAUAAUCUAGAAAGAAAUACAAUUUUUGAUACCACAAUGGAGCUCAUUGGAAUUCUUCAUUUCUUUGAUAAAUUGAUUUUUUUUUUUUAAUUCACCACCUUCUUUGUUUGAUUUUUGAUAUCUUCAACUUUUGAAUUUCUUCAGAAUUUUGAUCUUCAUUUUAUACUUUGAUUGGUCUAAAAUUCUUUAACUUUUUUUAAAUUUCUCUUUUUUUUUUCAACGUGUAUCUCACUUUUUGGUGAUUUCUUCAUGCUCCUCCCCAAGUCGGUUUUGAAUGAGAAAAAAAGUGAGAUACAUGUUGAAAAAAAAGAGAGAAAUUACCAAAAAGUUAAAGAAUUUUGGAGCAAUCAAAGUAUAAAAUAUGAAUAUCAAAAUUCUGAAGAAAUUCAAAAGUUGAAGAUAUCAAAAAUCAAACAAAGAAGGUGGUGAAUUCAAAGAAAUCAAUUUAUCAAAGAAGUGAAGAAUUCCAAAGAGCUUCAUUGUGGUAUCAAAAAUUGUAAUUUUUUCUAGAUUAUGUAUGCUUGGGUAGCUUGACCAAAAAUACCUUGAGGUUAAGAUAGUUUUCUGCGGAUGGAUUCAGAGGAAUGCAUAAAAUGAGCGUUGUUCAAAAGAAGUGGAUGAGUGUUUAUGAGGAUUGUAACUAUUUAGAAUUAGGGGGUGUCCUUAGGAAAAAAUUAAGACACAGAUGCAUGCGUUGCGGUCUUGGCAUAUUGGUUGGGUUCGAGUGAGAUUGUCUUAUGUGAUGCUGGUGUGCUUAAAAUUCAGUUUUGCUUAGGGGAAAGCAAAAGUCAAGUGUGGAGUAUUUUGAUAUGUGCAUAUUUGAUCAUAUAAUUUAUAUAGAAUCUUAAUGCUUUUUGGCUAUUUUAUUGCAAUUAUUGAACAGAAGGUACUUAAUUUUGCUUAAAUUGUAUUUUUCAGCCUAAAAGACAUGCUCGGGAGCAAAAGGAAGCAGGACUAGCAAUUGGAAGCUUGGGAAUUGAAGAAAGAACAGAAGGAGCUAAAAAUCUGAAGGACUCGGCGAGUCAGACACCUACUCGGCAAAUAGAUACGAAUAUUCGCGAACAUCAGAUGCCUUGCCGUACACGGGUUUUAAGUGAGGGACUCGUCAAGUCGGUCACUGGACUCGACGAGUAGCCCCUGUUUCAGAAGUCUAUAUAAAGGGCUUAAUUGCCCGAUACCCUAGCUUUUUCUGGUGCCUUUGGCGACCAUAUUGUGAUUAGAAGUGCUACUGAGGCUCUCGAACUCGAAUAUCAACCUUAGUUAUCAAUUUUGAGGAGAUUAAAAGGCAAAAACAUAUUCUCUUUUCUUAAUCUAGUGUUUACAACAUGUUUGAAUCAUUAGGUUUAGUUUGUGAGAUAUUUUCUACUAUGAAUAUGAGCUAAACACUUAUAGCUUCUGUUUAGGGUAGAUUAGCUUGUUAAUAUGGUAUGAUUUCUAUGGCAUGGAUUAUUUGAUUUGGUGAGAUUGUUUUUGCUAAGUUUGCUAAAGAUCAUUUUGUGUUAACAAUAACUAUUUUUUGUUAACUAUAAAGAUUAAGUUGCAUGAACAUCCUUUUAAUUGUUUGCCUCUGUGAAAACAAGAUUAUAUGCCUAGGAAUAGUGAACUUGAAACUAGGGUUAACUAGAAAAUAGAUAAGUUAAUGUGUGAGCUUGUAUGUUGAACAACCAUACAAGAUGUUAAUUAAAUUAGUAAUUUAAUUCUAACUACAAGUCUUACUUAACCUGAAUCAAUAUACUAGGAAACUCAUUAGUUUAACCAAUUGGCCACUGGUUGAAUUUAAAUUGUUUUCUAAGGAUUAGUAAUAGUGAACAUGAACCUAAUCACAUUAAUCGGUAGCCAAUGACAAAUUAAUUCAUUGCACUUGCCAUAAAAUCAACCAUAAGAAUAAGUGAGUCGAACCUGAAGUCCUGAACAGAAGGCUCCUUUAUUAUUGAAUUUAGUUGAUUUUUAUUUGCUUUAUUUGUUAAUAGCCUUUGUUUUAAUAUUAGUUAAUUGUUUAAGUUUAUAGGCUUGCAAAACUAGAGAAAACCCCUUUCUUUUAUUAUUUGUUUUUAGAUAAUUCUAGUAGUUAGUUUAAUUACCGUUCUCUGUGUUCAAUACCAUGCUUGCUUAAACUAUACCACUAAUUGACAGGUACACUGCCUUUUGUGUGUCGAAUUUAUGUUAAAAUAGUAGGACUAAAACUAGUGCACUUAACACACUUCAACAAACAAUUUGUAUGUAUUUUAUGUAUUUACUUCACGUAAAAUAUAUUUUUUUGUCUUUAAAAAAUACGUUUUCGUAAAGUAUAUUUUUUUUAUGCCUUUGAAAUAAUAAUAAUUAACACUACUUAUGACAUAAAAAAACUAUAAACAUUCUUUUGGGUCGCUAGUUCUAAAACCAUUUUUUCGGUUAUAUGUAUUAAAAACAACUUAACAACGAUUUUCUGAUGUAUCUAAACAAUUUAUACGGUUUUUUUAUGUUAAUAAUUGUUAUUUCAAAAAGAUAUAUCAUUAUUUCUUUCCAUCUUCAUUUUAACUAUAUGAUUUAGAACUUGCAAUUAAAAUGAAACACGUAUUUUAAAUAAGAUAUAUAACCGAAUAGGUUUUUUUUUUCUUUUCUUAAAUACAUAUUACCGAAUACGUAUUUAUAAAAAAAAACAUAAAAAAACAGUUUUCAGAAAACCGAUUGGACCAAAUCAAAAACAUAUUUAGCCGAUUUUGCCUUCCAAUACAACAUAAUAACAUAUUAUACCAAACCAAAAAAACCUAUUCGGUUAUAUAUCUUAUUUAAAAUACGUUUUCAGUUAUAUGUAUUUAAGAAAACAUAAAAAACCUAUUCAACUAUAUAUUUUAUUUACAAUAUGUAUUUCAUCUUAAUCAUAAGUUCUAAAUCGUAUAGUUAAAAAUGAAGAAGGAAAAAAUAUUGAUAUAUCUUUUUGAAAUAACAAUUAUUAACAAUAUUAUUGACAUAAAAAACGUAUAAAUUGUUUAGAUGCAUAACAAAAUCGUUGUUAAGUUGUUUUAAUACAUAUAACCGAAAAAACAGUUUUAGAACUAGCGACCCAAAAGAAUUUAUACAGUUUUUUUUAUGUCAUCAGCAGUGUUAAUUGUUAUUAUUUCAAAGACAUAAAAAAUAUAUUUUACGAAAACGUUUUUUUAUACGAAAACGUAUUUUUUAAAGAAAAAAAAGUAUAUUUUCAUAAAAUAAAUAUAUAAAAAUACAUGCAAAUUGUUUGUAAAAAAAGUAUUUUUUAUAAUACAACUAAAAUACAUUUUGUUUAUUUAAAAAAAAAUUAUGUAAACAAAUGUUUUUUGUAAUUUAUUGAUUGUUUAUGUUUAACGAUUUUGUUAUUAUAUAAAUUAGUUUUAGGAAACUAUAAACCAAGUGAGCAUGCAGCUCAACUGGUUAAAACUUUAGUAAUUUAAUAGGUUGGAGGUCACGAGUUCCAGGCCUCUCCCUAGCCAUUUAAUUGUCUUUUUCAAACAAAUUUCGAAAAUGAUCUCUGUGGUUUAGUAAAUGUCAUGGAUUCAGUCAUUUUAUACUUGAAAAGACGAAAAUGCCCUUAUAGAUACAGUCCUAACGGCAAAAUACUAACCGAGUUAGUAAAAAGGGCCAUCAAUUCAAGUUUUACAAAUCACAAGGACCAUUUGCAUCAAAAAAAAUUAGCAGGGACUGACUUUGUGAUUUUUGGCAAACCAUAGGGACCAUUUUUGUAAUUUUGUCUUAAUAUUAUCAUAUAUAUCUAUAAAUCUAAAAUAAAUUACAAUAAUAUUUUAACCUAAAAUAUCUUUAAUAUAAUUACAUUGAAACAUUAAAGAAAUUAUAUAAUAGUUUUUAAGUAAAUACACGAAUAUUUCAGGUAAUUAGAGUGUAUGGUCCUUUAACAUUUUUUUUAACUUGGACGAUCCCUAUGGUUUGGUUUUGUUUCGGGUUUGGUCCCCAACAAAGUUAAUAUGGCUAUCUUCCACUUGAUGAUAUUUUUCUAUAAUUUUUUAAUUCAUUUUUUUAUUAUUAUGUUAUUAUUAAAUAGAGUAAAUUAUUAAUGUGUAAAAUGAUACUUCACCAAACAUCGGAUGCUGCCCUUGAAACCACCUCCCCCACCACUGCAUACUUCUUGUAAAAGAUUGAAGGAUCCAGCCUCACCAUUUUCCCCUCUGUUAUAGACAAAGAACAACAAUAUCAUCCAUUCCUGAUGAAAAUCAAAAUCUCUUUCCUUAUUAUAGAAUACCAAAUUCACUCUAUUAGAUAUAUAAUCUCAAAUUCUCAACUUCCAUAAACAGUUCAAAAUAGAACCGAAAGAAGAAAUGCACAUAAACCAUCACUGUGGAAGCUCACAGGAAGCACAAGUUUAGGGACACUAGAAAGCGUAUCAGGUAAUUAAUGAUCUUACACUUACACAUGUGCAAACUUUGACAACAUGCAAUGCCUACUGAAAAAGGUUUAUUUACUAAUGCGGAAAAAAAAAUCUACAAUAAUUAUGGUAUCAUGUACCAGUAGAUAUCAACACAAAACCUAAUCUGAUAAUAUUGGGAGCAAUUACACACAUACAUUAUACAUAUAUAAUAUGUGGCCUAGUAAAACUAUACACACAUAAAUAAAUAAAAAUUCAUUUGUAGGAACUGCUUUCAUAGCAUAUGAAGAAAAACCAGUUCCAAACAUAGCAACAAUACGAAAACAUGAUUUUUUUCCAAUUUUCUCACAGUGAACAAAAGCAAGAGAAGAUUGAGGUUUUUCAUGAGAACGGGUCAACAUAGGACUAUAGUCUAUAGGUGAUUAGUUGAUACAAUAAAACAACACAACCACUACCAAAGGGUCUACUGAGAAGCAGAGGUUUAAUUGAGUUUGAAGCAUUUCCUCCCUUAAACAGAUAAUUACAGAUUACGUGGUGACAUUGUAUCUACCAUUAGGAACUGCAAGUGUCUUGCAAAACAGAGGCUAUCACCAUCUGCUUAUAUGCCUCAUUACCUUCUCUGUGUUACAGGUCCCAAUUUGUGCGACAAUUAGGUCAGACAGAAUCAUAAAAGCGUAGAUGGAUCAUUUUCCCAGUAUACAUCAAUGCAAUUGGAUUAUAUUACACAUAAAAACAUAUAUGCAUCGUUUUCGACAGCCCUAAAUUACUAUCUUCUUUGUAUUACAGGUCCCAAUUUGUGUGUUUUGUAGCAUUUUCUGAAUAUUCUUAAAAAACAGAUGCAGCAAAGUUCAUAAAAUAUAGAGAAUUAGGUCAAAGAAAAAAGAAAAUCAGAAAACAUACCAUGUGGACGCCAAUCACGCCAUAUGAGUUUAAGCUUCGCCUUUCCCCCGUACUCGUCUAUUUCCCGGUGACGAUAGUUUUGAGAGGAACGGAAAUUUGGGGGAAUUUUUGUUACUUGUAUCGUU
rnacentral:lncRNA from 1 species